rnacentral:rRNA from 1 species
ACUGAUUAUUUUGUGACUGAGUGGCGGACGGGUGAGUAACGCGUGGGUAACCUGCCUCACACUGGGGGAUAACAGUUGGAAACGACUGCUAAUACCGCAUGAAGCGUAUUGAUCGCAUGGUCGAUACGCCAAAGAUUUAUCGCUGAAAGAUGGCCUCGCGUCUGAUUAGCUAGUUGGUGAGGUAACGGCCCACCAAGGCGACGAUCAGUAGCCGGACUGAGAGGUUGAACGGCCACAUUGGGACUGAGAUACGGCCCAGACUCC